ensembl:lncRNA
GCUGGGCCAGAGGUGGGGCUGGGGUGUGGGGUGAGUAAGCCACCAGGAAGACGAGUCCAUGUGGAACCACUUUUCCAUGGUCUAAUCUGGGAAACGGAACGCUGUGAGCUUGGACUAAAGUUAUGGCUUUGGUUAGAGGAUUGAUUCAGUGGGGCCAGCAUGGCCUCUGGCGGGGCCAUAGCCACAUGUGUCCUCCCCCCUGGCCUGACCCCCCUCUGGCAGUCACAUCUCCAGGUCUGGCAGAACCCCCAGAACAGAUCUUUCUUCUGGCCCCCAGCAAGGCUGUUCACUGCCUUCCAAACAUGUGCAGCUGGCUUGGCCAUCUGGGCCUGAGGCCCUCUGGGAGGUGGCCUCGAACGAUGAUCUUCCUCUACCCUAUGUGAUUGUGUGGCUUCCAGCUGAGCCUGCUUACCUGAUCCUCCUGCAGGACCCUACUCCCUGGGCUCUUUCCAACCCUGAGAGGGAGGAGCAAAGAGGGCUGGAGAAUGGAUAGUACAACCAUUUCCCAUGUUGCUGCAUGCCUGGUGCCUUAUGCAGGUCCUCCUUCUAGUAGAAAAGGAAAACUAAAUAUAAAGACUGAGCCUUGGAGUAUGAAGACAGAUGACACUGAGAAUAUCCCUCAAGGUAUGGAGCCCCAGUUGGUUUGUAAAACAAGGAAUAAAAUACAAAGUAUUAUAAUGAAAAUGUAUCUUAUUACUUAUAAAUUAUAAUGCAGUUGUGCCUCACAGAAGAAUCAAAUGCAAUAAUGCCCAUAAUGGGCUUACACAAGGCAGGAUAACUCAUUUGUGCACAAGUAGGCAUUAAUUACCAUCAUUAUAGCUCCUUCCUGGAAGGGACAGGAAGUUCAUGUUCUAUUGGUGAUCAAGGGUCUGGUAUUCUCUUUGGCCCCAGGAAUGCUUUCUGUGGACAAGGAACCUCAGGCUGAGAGCACUUCAUUUUAGUUGUCCUUCAUUUUAGUUGUCUCUGCAAAGUUUUCACCUGGAACUAGCAAGAGGACAUUUGUAAGAUGCCCAAAUGCUAAGAAGUGGAAACUAGGAAAGCAUUGUCUAUUCUUGGACAGCACAGGUGCUGCUGGUGGUAUUUGGAUGCCCUUAGCCCCUUCUGACCUUUAAAGACAUCAUGACCUAGACUACUGGAUCAGAAGAGCUCUCAAGAUCAUCAUGCAAGCCUCUCAUUUGAGGAAGAUAGAAAGACAAGUUCAAGAAGAGCCUGACUUUGCAUAGAUCAAAUGAUGGGCUGGCCUCUUUCUUCCCAUUUUUAUCGAAGGCAUCCCAUUGCUGGCUGACUUCACUCAUAAAGCUGCACUGAAGAAACUCUCUGCACUGGACAUGUGACAGCCUCUCUCUUGGGAUUUGUGCUUCCUCUUGCUGUGGACUAGAAGAUGAAUGCUUCAAUAUUUCAAGGAAGAUCAUGCUGGGUUGGCUCUGUCCUACUCAGGGUUCCCCUCUCCUGUAUUACUUUGUUCUAAAUUGUGUCUUCGAAAACAUAUUGGAGUCCUUAUCCCACAUACCUCAAAAUGUACUCUUAUUUGGAAGUAGUGUCAUUGUCGAUGGGAUUAGUUAAAAGAGGAGGUUAUACUGGAGUGGAGUGAGUCUUUAUCCAGUAUGACUUUAUCCAAUAUGAUUCCUUAUACAAAGAGGAUAUGAAGACACAGCCACACCAGAAGAAGGCCAGACAGAGGCAGAGAUCGGAGGGCUGUAGCUGCUUGCCAAAGGAUGCCAAGGAUUGAUGGCCUCCACCAUCGAUAGAAGCUAGCAAGAGGCAAGGAAGGAUUCUCUCCUACAGAUUUCACUGGGAAUAUGGUGUUGUUCACUCCUGGACAUCAGACUUCCUGCCCCUACAUCUGUAGGACAAUACAUGUCUGUGUCUGAAGCCACCUGGUUUAUGGUAUGUGGUUAUGGCAGCCCUAGAAAUAAGCAGAUAUUUCAUCUCUGUCUUAGAAGUGAAGAAACUGGGGUUUCCCAAGCAUUUUCAUUUCUACAGAACCAACAGCUUCAUAUAGGACUCGACAAGAGUGGAGAGUUUAUCAGAGAGUGGAGAGUUUACCAGAGGAAUGACCCAGCCAAUGGCUGGUGUGACACCUUAAGGUCAGGUGGUGAGUUGGGGGCAGUAUCAACUCUGGAUACUCUCUCUGCAUGUCAAGCCAGCUGUUCGCUGCACUAGGACA